rnacentral:rRNA from 1 species
AUUGAACGCUGGCGGCAGGCCUAACACAUGCAAGUCGAACGAGUGGCGGACGGGUGAGUAAUGUCUGGGAAACUGCCCGACGGAGGGGGAUAACUAAUGGAAACGGUAGCUAAUACCGCAUACCAUCGGAUGUGCCCAGACGGGAUUAGCUAGUAGGUGGGGUAACGGCUCACCUAGGCGACGAUCCCUAGCGGGUCUGAGAGGAUGACCAGCCACACUGGAACUGAGACACGGUCCAGACUCCUACGGGAUGCAGCAGUGGGGAAUAUUGCACAAUGGGCGCAAGCCUGAUGCAGCAAUGCCGCGUGUAUGAAGAAGGCCUUCGGGUUGUAAAGUACUUUCGUCGGGGAGGCGUUACUCGCAGAAGAAGCACCGGCUAACUCCGUGCCAGCAGCCGCGGUAAUUC